CGCCAGUUCUCUCUGUAUAUUUUCUCCGCCUCCUCCUCCACAGAGACAGACCUCCUCGCUCGAGUGUCAAUGACGAAGAACGACGCGUCCUUGGGAUCAGUGGGUGAGUUCUUGAAGCUGUGCCAGCAAUCUAGCGAGCCUUCGAUGAUAGACAUCUCCAGAGAUCAGAGCCAAACGCGCACAUGAGGCUCUACUAUGAUCUCCUUACCAACGGAAUUGGAAUCAGGUACUACACGACGCGGCUGUGGAUUGGGACACCGCCUGAGAUGUUCGCUCUGAUUGUGGAUACGGGGAGUAGAGAAUUAAGGUCACCUGAUUGGGACACCGCCACCUCAAAUCUGGCAGCUGCGGCGGAGAAGCCGCUGCCAAUACCAGCUGCAGCCUAUUUGAUGUGUACGCAAACAAGGCCUUGGACAUGAUUAAGGGUUUUUUUAUUUGGGUUUGUGAUUGGUGGUUUUUGCUGGUAUUUUUGCUUCUUUGGCGGCUUUGAUGUUCAAUUGCAUUAAGAAGGACGACAUUGACUAGUCUCCUUCCGAAGAGGGUGAGUGGAGGUGAGUAAUUUGAUUCCAGCUCAAGAUAUAUCAUCAAGAAUUCAGUUUAAAUUUGAUUCAGUAUUGAAAUAAUUGUUUUCAUGAUUUUGAUUUGUGAAUGCCACUGGUGUUGUAAAUGUUGGGACUCGGUAGAUGACCUAACCUUAACUCAGGCCAUCAAUUAAUGAUAUGAACAUUUAGAUGAUUCUAUACUUCAGCAAUUGAAUAUCAGUGUAAACUGAA